CUAUAAUGGAGAGUUUGAUCCUGGCUCAGGACGAACGCUGGCGGCGUGCCUAAUACAUGCAAGUC
rnacentral:rRNA from 1 species